GAAGGUGUUUGGAAGAUGCCGCCGCAGAGGGUGAAAGCCCCGUACACGAAAGGUUGAUUAAUGGGUUGGGAUCCUGAGUAGGGCGGGACCGGCGAAAUCCUGUCUGAAACUGGCGGCACCAUCCGCUAAGGCUAAAUACUCCUGAGAGACCGAUAGCGAAGUAGUACUGUGAAGGAAAGGUGAAAAGGACCCCAAGAAGGGGAGUGAAAAGACCCUGAAACCGUACGCCUACAAGCGGUCGGAGCUGCACUUCGGUGUAGUGACGGCGUGCCUUUUGCAUAAUGAGCCUACGAGUUACCUUGACAAGCGAGUUUAAGCCCUUCAGGGGCGAAGGCGAAGCGAAAGCGAGUCUUAACAGGGCGAGAGCUUGUUGAGGUAGACGCGAAACCGAGUGAUCUACCCAUGGGCAGGUUGAAGUUCCGAUAAUAUCGGAAUGGAGGACCGAACUGGUAAACGUUGAAAAGUUUUCGGAUG
rnacentral:rRNA from 1 species